rnacentral:lncRNA from 10 species
AUUUUAUUACAGGGCAUGUUGGGGACAGGGGAGGGAAGUGUUAGAGGAGUGACAGGGCAGCCCGGGGCCCUCUCCCACCCUGAGCCUCGAGGCCUGGUGGGGGACAUGAACUGCAGAGGCAUCAGAUAAGGCCUCAGAAAGCCCAGGCCAUCAUUUUCCAUGGGACCAGGCUGGCUCAAUGUGGAACUGGCCCUCCCAGAGCAGCAGGAGAAGGGCUCGCAUGGGCUGCCCCCGUCACCUGUGCCUGACAGGAUGGGGGGGGAGGCAGAGAGAGAGCAUCAGACGCCCUCCCUCCCCAUAAGGGGCAUGGGGGAUGGGGACACUUCCUCCCAGGACACAGGGAGCCUGGCUGAGCUGGCUGGCUCAUGCCCCAUCUGGUCUGGAGGUCAGAGGGGAGUGAGACACUCUGGUUUGAAAGGCCUUCCUUUCCACUUUGGGGAAAACAGGCAGGGAGAGAGGUGAGGGUGCCAUGCCAAAAAACACCCCCAAAUCCAGAUGCAGACUUUGGAGCCACAUGUGGGUUUGAAUCUCAACUCUACCUGAGUGACCCUGGGCAAGUCACUUCACUUCCCUGAGACUCAAGUUUCAUCAAGAUGGGAACAAUGAGCAUCUGCCUCACAGGCUUGUCGUGAGGAUUAAGUGAGAAGGUGCAGCUGCAAAGACAUCAAGCUGGACCCAUCGAGGAUUUCGGAUUCAGCCAUCAUGGGGCUGCUGCCGGGGAAGCCACUGCCCCUCCUUUCUCCUCAGCACUGGGGUUAUAAAAAAAUACCUACAAACCAUGAGAAAGUUUGUG